UUUAUAAUGAAAACAUUUUCUUGGAUACCCCUUCACUCCUUUUAUGAGUGAAACGUAACAGUCUGAAAAAC